rnacentral:rRNA from 1 species
UACGUAGGGUGCAAGCGUUGUCCGGAAUUAUUGGGCGUAAAGAGCUCGUAGGCGGUUUGUCACGUCGGAUGUGAAACCCCGGGGCUCAACCCCGGGCCUGCAUUCGAUACGGGCAGACUAGAGUUCGGCAGGGGGAGACUGGAAUUCCUGGUGUAGCGGUGAAAUGCGCAGAUAUCAGGAGGAACACCGGUGGCGAAGGCGGGUCUCUGGGCCGAUACUGACGCUGAGGAGCGAAAGCGUGGGGAGCAAACAGG